rnacentral:rRNA from 1 species
UACGUAGGGGGCAAGCGUUGUCCGGAUUUAUUGGGCGUAAAGAGCUCGUAGGCGGUUCCGUAAGUCGGGUGUGAAAAAUCUGGGCUCAACCCAGUGGAGCACCCGAUACUGCGGUGACUCGAGUCCGGUAGGGGAGUGUGGAAUUCCUGGUGUAGCGGUGAAAUGCGCAGAUAUCAGGAGGAACACCGACGGCGAAGGCAGCACUCUGGGCCGGUACUGACGCUGAGGAGCGAAAGCUAGGGGAGCAAACGGG